AGAGUUUGAUCCUGGCUCAGGACGAACGCUGGCGGCGUGCCUAAUACAUGCAAGUAGAACGCUGAAGAGAGGAGCUUGCUCUUCUUGGAUGAGUUGCGAACGGGUGAGUAACGCGUAGGUAACCUGCCUUGUAGCGGGGGAUAACUAUUGGAAACGAUAGCUAAUACCGCAUAACAAUGGAUGACCCAUGUCAUUUAUUUGAAAGGGGCAAAUGCUCCACUACAAGAUGGACCUGCGUUGUAUUAGCUAGUAGGUGAGGUAACGGCUCACCUAGGCGACGAUACAUAGCCGACCUGAGAGGGUGAUCGGCCACACUGGGACUGAGACACGGCCCAGACUCCUACGGGAGGCAGCAGUAGGGAAUCUUCGGCAAUGGGGGCAACCCUGACCGAGCAACGCCGCGUGAGUGAAGAAGGUUUUCGGAUCGUAAAGCUCUGUUGUAAGUCAAGAACGAGUGUGAGAGUGGAAAGUUCACACUGUGACGGUAGCUUACCAGAAAGGGACGGCUAACUACGUGCCAGCAGCCGCGGUAAUACGUAGGUCCCGAGCGUUGUCCGGAUUUAUUGGGCGUAAAGCGAGCGCAGGCGGUUUGAUAAGUCUGAAGUUAAAGGCUGUGGCUCAACCAUAGUUCGCUUUGGAAACUGUCAAACUUGAGUGCAGAAGGGGAGAGUGGAAUUCCAUGUGUAGCGGUGAAAUGCGUAGAUAUAUGGAGGAACACCGGUGGCGAAAGCGGCUCUCUGGUCUGUAACUGACGCUGAGGCUCGAAAGCGUGGGGAGCGAACAGGAUUAGAUACCCUGGUAGUCCACGCCGUAAACGAUGAGUGCUAGGUGUUGGAUCCUUUCCGGGAUUCAGUGCCGCAGCUAACGCAUUAAGCACUCCGCCUGGGGAGUACGACCGCAAGGUUGAAACUCAAAGGAAUUGACGGGGGCCCGCACAAGCGGUGGAGCAUGUGGUUUAAUUCGAAGCAACGCGAAGAACCUUACCAGGUCUUGACAUCCCGAUGCUAUUUCUAGAGAUAGAAAGUUACUUCGGUACAUCGGUGACAGGUGGUGCAUGGUUGUCGUCAGCUCGUGUCGUGAGAUGUUGGGUUAAGUCCCGCAACGAGCGCAACCCCUAUUGUUAGUUGCCAUCAUUCAGUUGGGCACUCUAGCGAGACUGCCGGUAAUAAACCGGAGGAAGGUGGGGAUGACGUCAAAUCAUCAUGCCCCUUAUGACCUGGGCUACACACGUGCUACAAUGGUUGGUACAACGAGUUGCGAGUCGGUGACGGCAAGCUAAUCUCUUAAAGCCAAUCUCAGUUCGGAUUGUAGGCUGCAACUCGCCUACAUGAAGUCGGAAUCGCUAGUAAUCGCGGAUCAGCACGCCGCGGUGAAUACGUUCCCGGGCCUUGUACACACCGCCCGUCACACCACGAGAGUUUGUAACACCCGAAGUCGGUGAGGUAACCUUUUGGAGCCAGCCGCCUAAGGUGGGAUAGAUGAUUGGGGUGAAGUCGUAACAGGUA
rnacentral:rRNA from 1 species